GCUGGCGGCGUGCCUAAUACAUGCAAGUCGAGCGAAUGGAUUAAGAGCUUGCUCUUAUGAAGUUAGCGGCGGACGGGUGAGUAACACGUGGGUAACCUGCCCAUAAGACUGGGAUAACUCCGGGAAACCGGGGCUAAUACCGGAUAACAUUUUGAACCGCAUGGUUCGAAAUUGAAAGGCGGCUUCGGCUGUCACUUAUGGAUGGACCCGCGUCGCAUUAGCUAGUUGGUGAGGUAACGGCUCACCAAGGCAACGAUGCGUAGCCGACCUGAGAGGGUGAUCGGCCACACUGGGACUGAGACACGGCCCAGACUCCUACGGGAGGCAGCAGUAGGGAAUCUUCCGCAAUGGACGAAAGUCUGACGGAGCAACGCCGCGUGAGUGAUGAAGGCUUUCGGGUCGUAAAACUCUGUUGUUAGGGAAGAACAAGUGCUAGUUGAAUAAGCUGGCACCUUGACGGUACCUAACCAGAAAGCCACGGCUAACUACGUGCCAGCAGCCGCGGUAAUACGUAGGUGGCAAGCGUUAUCCGGAAUUAUUGGGCGUAAAGCGCGCGCAGGUGGUUUCUUAAGUCUGAUGUGAAAGCCCACGGCUCAACCGUGGAGGGUCAUUGGAAACUGGGAGACUUGAGUGCAGAAGAGGAAAGUGGAAUUCCAUGUGUAGCGGUGAAAUGCGUAAAGAUAUGGAGGAACACCAGUGGCGAAGGCGACUUUCUGGUCUGUAACUGACACUGAGGCGCCAA
rnacentral:rRNA from 1 species